rnacentral:rRNA from 1 species
UACGAGGGGGGCAAGCGUUGUUCGGAUUUACUGGGCGUAAAGGGCGCGUAGGCGGUUUGGUAAGUCUUAUGUGAAAUCUACAGGCUCAACUUGUAGUCUGCAUGAGAAACUGCCGGACUUGAGUAUGGGAGAGGUGAGUGGAAUUCCUGGUGUAGCGGUGAAAUGCGUAGAUAUCAGGAGGAACACCUGUGGCGAAGGCGGCUCACUGGACCAUAACUGACGCUGAUGCACGAAAGCUAGGGGAGCAAACAGG